rnacentral:piRNA from 1 species
UACUUACUCAGGAACAAGAUAUCACUGCUG